rnacentral:rRNA from 1 species
UACGUAGGGUGCAAGCGUUGUCCGGAAUUAUUGGGCGUAAAGAGCUCGUAGGCGGUCUGUCACGUCGGAUGUGAAAAUCCAGGGCUUAACCCUGGACCUGCAUUCGAUACGGGCAGACUAGAGUUCGGUAGGGGAGACUGGAAUUCCUGGUGUAGCGGUGAAAUGCGCAGAUAUCAGGAGGAACACCGGUGGCGAAGGCGGGUCUCUGGGCCGAUACUGACGCUGAGGAGCGAAAGCGUGGGGAGCAAACAGG